AACGAACGCUGGCGGCGUGCUUAACACAUGCAAGUCGAACGGGGUCUAUUUUGUAGCAAUACAGGAUAGACUUAGUGGCGGACGGGUGAGUAACACGUAGGUAACCAACCCUAGAGCGGGGGACAACCCAGGGAAACUUGGGCUAAUACCGCAUAAGACCACGGACUGGGAGGUCUGUGGUAAAAGGAGCAAUCCACUUUAGGCUGGGCCUGCGGCCUAUCAGGUAGUUGGUAAGGUAAUGGCUUACCAAGCCUAAGACGGGUAGCCGGACUGAGAGGUUGAACGGCCACACUGGAACUGAGAUACGGUCCAGACUCCUACGGGAGGCAG
rnacentral:rRNA from 1 species